UGGUUCUCGCAUCGAUGAAGAACGCAGCGAAAUGCGAUAAGUAAUGUGAAUUGCAGAAUUCAGUGAAUCAUCGAAUCUUUGAACGCACCUUGCGCCCUUUGGUAUUCCGAAGGGCACGCCUGUUUGAGUGUCGUGAAAUUCUCAACCCUCCCCCCUUUUGUUAGGUGGGGGACGGGCUUGGACUUGGAGGUUCUUGCCGGCCUAGGUCGGCUCCUCUCAAAUGCAUCAGUGCGUUCCGUUGUGACGUUACCUUUGGUGUGAUAGAUAUCUACGCCGCUGGUGGCUUCGCUGUCAAGGAUUGCGCUUACAACCGUCUUCGGACAGCUUCAUCGAAACUUGACCUCAAAUCAGGCGGGACUACCCGCUGA
rnacentral:misc_RNA from 1 species